GAUAGCAUUGUGACUCACCUGACCCACCUUGAAAUUGGCAAAGAUGAAGGAAGCCCUCAAUAAAGGUGCUCAGCUGGUUCUCGGAUUUGUCAGCGCGGGUGUAGCAAAGGGCGUAGAGUUUGACUUUCAUUGCCCCUGUGACAAGUCGUACACCCUUCUGUUUUUCUUUGUAUACUUACUGGGGCCCGCGAUUGCCAUGUUAAUCAUCGGAAUUUUGAUCCUGAGGCAGAGCAAGGACUGGAAUUUUGGCUCACGCUGCUUCGGGUACUUCUUCUCCUGUUUAGUUCCACCUGUUGUUUGGACGGUCAUGUUCUUCAAAGGCAAAUUCAUGGAUUGUUUCAAAGAUCAGCCGAUAGAAGGACUUCCUGAAUGGUUUCUUCAAGCUGUAUGUGAGAUGGAGCUCGACUUCUAUUUAAAAAGGGCGGGAGGUCUUGCCAUCGUCAUCGUGUUCCUUAUUAUAGGGCUGAUUUGUGACUGCUGCAAAAAGAAGUGACCGCAGGGAAGAUCUGUGAAGCAGCAGACCUCUGCAGCUACGAGGGUGAGUGCAGGGCAGAGUCUGCUUUCCUGACUGUGAUACGGGUUGAAAGUUUAGAGUCUCAACGUUCCACAAAAUACCUCCACCUGCUUCAACCAGAUACAAGCUACAUGUUUUUCCAACACUGGCCAUAACUGUGACUUCCCGGGAUGAGCUGUGAACCAGAACCAGAGCAUUACUGUUAACAUCUGUUACUGUAUCUUCUAUUAAUACUUUACAUUCUGAGCUCCCAGUUACAAACAGAUCAUUUCACACUCGUUCUUUUAAAUCAUUUUGCUUCUUCUACAGCCCCAUUUCCAAAAAAGUUGUGACGCUGUGCAAAAUGUAAAUCAAAACAAAAUGUAUUGAUGUGAAAAUCGUUUGAACCCUUUGUUUCAUUGGAAAUACUACAAAGACAACAAAUCAAAUGUUGAAAGCUUUUGAAAUGUUAUUGUUUUUUGAAAAAUAUUUUGAAUAUUUGAAUUUGAUGCCAA